rnacentral:tRNA from 1 species
GGGAGCGUAGCUCAAUGGUAGAGCAGUUGCCUUUUAAGCAAUUGGUUCUGGGUUCGAGUCCCGGCGCUCUCA